UGCGUAGGCGGUUAGUUAAGUCUGUUGUGAAAUCCCCGGGCUCAACCUGGGAAUGGCAAUGGAAACUGGCUAGCUAGAGUGUGUCAGAGGAUGGUGGAAUUUCCGGUGUAGCGGUGAAAUGCGUAGAGAUCGGAAGGAACAUCAGUGGCGAAGGCAACUACCUGGGCCAACACUGACGCUGAGGUACGAAAGCGUGGGGAGCAAACA
rnacentral:rRNA from 1 species